AGAUGGAAAACUAUACUCAGCCACAGUGACUGACUUCCUUGCCAUUGACGCAGUCAUUUACCGGAGUCUUGGAGAAAGCCCUACCCUGCGGACCGUCAAGCAUGAUUCAAAAUGGUUGAAAGAACCAUACUUUGUUCAAGCUGUGGAUUACGGAGAUUAUAUCUACUUCUUCUUCAGGGAAAUAGCAGUGGAGUAUAACACCAUGGGAAAGGUAGUUUUCCCAAGAGUGGCUCAGGUUUGUAAGAAUGAUAUGGGAGGAUCUCAAAGAGUCCUGGAGAAACAGUGGACGUCGUUCCUGAAGGCGCGCUUGAACUGCUCAGUUCCUGGAGACUCUCAUUUUUAUUUCAACAUUCUCCAGGCAGUUACAGAUGUGAUUCGUAUCAACGGGCGUGAUGUUGUCCUGGCAACGUUUUCUACACCUUAUAACAGGUAAUCAUGCCCUAGCUGUGUUGACCUCAUCAAUUCUUCCUGGCUUCCUUCUCCCAGGGGGUUCUCUUCUAAUAAACCAUAUUUGCAACUGACUGAAAAUUGCAUUCA
rnacentral:sRNA from 1 species